rnacentral:misc_RNA from 1 species
AACGCACGAGACCUGCGGACCUGCGGAAGGAUCAUUACCGAGUUUACAACUCCCAAACCCAAUGUGAACCAUACCAAACUGUUGCCUCGGCGGGGUCACGCCCCGGGUGCGUCGCAGCCCCGGAACCAGGCGCCCGCCGGAGGGACCAACCAAACUCUUUCUGUAGUCCCCUCGCGGACGUUAUUUCUUACAGCUCUGAGCAAAAAUUCAAAAUGAAUCAAAACUUUUAACAACGGAUCU